AAGUCGUAACAAGGUUUCCGUAGGUGAACCUGCGGAAGGAUCAUUAGUGAAUAUUAGGACGUUCAAUUUAACUUGAAGUCCGAACUCUCACUUUCUAACCCUGUGCAUUUGUUUUGGCUAGUAGGAUCUUGUAUCUGAACGCCUCUUCAUUUACAAACACAAAGUCUAUGAAUGUUUAAAUUUUAUAACAAAACAAAACUUUCAACAACGGAUCUCUUGGCUCUC
rnacentral:misc_RNA from 1 species